AGUGAACGCUGGCGGUAGGCCUAACACAUGCAAGUCGAACGGCAGCACAGUAAGAGCUUGCUCUUACGGGUGGCGAGUGGCGGACGGGUGAGGAAUACAUCGGAAUCUACUUUUUCGUGGGGGAUAACGUAGGGAAACUUACGCUAAUACCGCAUACGACCUACGGGUGAAAGCAGGGGAUCUUCGGACCUUGCGCGACUGAAUGAGCCGAUGUCGGAUUAGCUAGUUGGCGGGGUAAAGGCCCACCAAGGCGACGAUCCGUAGCUGGUCUGAGAGGAUGAUCAGCCGCACUGGAACUGAGACACGGUCCAGACUCCUACGGGAGGCAGCAGUGGGGAAUAUUGGACAAUGGCCGCAAGCCUGAUCCAGCCAUACCGCGUGGGUGAAGAAGGCCUUCGGGUUGUAAAGCCCUUUUGUUGGGAAAGAAAAGCAGCAGGUUAAUACCCCGCUGUUCUGACGGUACCCAAAGAAUAAGCACCGGCUAACUUCGUG
rnacentral:rRNA from 1 species